CAACAGCUGAUCUUCCUCCCAACCGAAUCAAAAGAGAAUUAUCUCACAAAGGAAACCAUCUGUUGUCAGCAGCAUCAUCGGAUCGGAAGCAUUUAUUAGAGUUGAAUCCGCUGCAAAC